GACGAACGCUGGCGGCGUGCUUAACACAUGCAAGUCGAGCGGUAAGGCCCUUUCGGGGGUACACGAGCGGCGAACGGGUGAGUAACACGUGGGUGACCUGCCCUCAGCUCUGGGAUAAGCCUGGGAAACCGGGUCUAAUACCGGAUAUGACUCCAUGACGCAUGUUGUGGGGUGGAAAGCCUUGUGCGGCUGAGGAUGGGCCCGCGGCCUAUCAGCUUGUUGGUGGGGUGAUGGCCUACCAAGGCGACGACGGGUAGCCGGCCUGAGAGGGCGACCGGCCACACUGGGACUGAGACACGGCCCAGACUCCUACGGGAGGCAGCAGUGGGGAAUCUUGCGCAAUGGACGAAAGCCUGACGCAGCGACGCCGCGUGAGGGAUGACGGCCU
rnacentral:rRNA from 1 species